CCUACGGGUGGCAGCAGUCGAGAAUCAUUCACAAUGGGGGAAACCCUGAUGGUGCGACGCCGCGUGGGGGAAUGAAGGUCUUCGGAUUGUAAACCCCUGUUAUGUGGGAGCAAAUUAAAAAGAUAGUACCACAAGAGGAAGAGACGGUUAACUCUGUGCCAGCAGCCGCGGUAAUACAGAGGUCUUAAGCGUUGUUCGGAAUCACUGGUCGUAAAGGGUGCGUAGGCUGGUUGGUAAGUCGUGUGUGAAAGGGGCGGGCUCAACCCGCGGACGGCACAUGAUACUGCGAGACUAGAGUAAUGUAGGGGGAACCGGAAUUCUCGGUGUAGCAGUGAAAUGCGUAGAUAUCGAGAGGAACCCGCGUGGCGAAGGCGGGUUCCUGGACAUUAACUGACGCUGAGGCACGAAGGCCAGGGGAGCGAAAGGGAUUAGAUACCCUUGUAGUC
rnacentral:rRNA from 1 species